rnacentral:rRNA from 1 species
CAGAUUGAACGCUGGCGGCAGGCCUAACACAUGCAAGUCGAACGGUAACAGGAAGCAGCUUGCUGCUUUGCUGACGAGUGGCGGACGGGUGAGUAAUGUCUGGGAAACUGCCUGAUGGAGGGGGAUAACUACUGGAAACGGUAGCUAAUACCGCAUAACGUCGCAAGACCAAAGAGGGGGACCUUAGGGCCUCUUGCCAUCGGAUGUGCCCAGAUGGGAUUAGCUAGUAGGUGGGGUAACGGCUCACCUAGGCGACGAUCCCUAGCUGGUCUGAGAGGAUGACCAGCCACACUGGAACUGAGACACGGUCCAGACUCCUACGGGAGGCAGCAGUGGGGAAUAUUGCACAAUGGGCGCAAGCCUGAUGCAGCCAUGCCGCGUGUAUGAAGAAGGCCUUCGGGUUGUAAAGUACUUUCAGCGGGGAGGAAGGGAGUAAAGUUAAUACCUUUGCUCAUUGACGUUACCCGCAGAAGAAGCACCGGCUAACUCCGUGCCAGCAGCCGCGGUAAUACGGAGGGUGCAAGCGUUAAUCGGAAUUACUGGGCGUAAAGCGCACGCAGGCGGUUUGUUAAGUCAGAUGUGAAAUCCCCGGGCUCAACCUGGGAACUGCAUCUGAUACUGGCAAGCUUGAGUCUCGUAGAGGGGGGUAGAAUUCCAGGUGUAGCGGUGAAAUGCGUAGAGAUCUGGAGGAAUACCGGUGGCGAAGGCGGCCCCCUGGACGAAGACUGACGCUCAGGUGCGAAAGCGUGGGGAGCAAACAGGAUUAGAUACCCUGGUAGUCCACGCCGUAAACGAUGUCGACUUGGAGGUUGUGCCCUUGAGGCGUGGCUUCCGGAGCUAACGCGUUAAGUCGACCGCCUGGGGAGUACGGCCGCAAGGUUAAAACUCAAAUGAAUUGACGGGGGCCCGCACAAGCGGUGGAGCAUGUGGUUUAAUUCGAUGCAACGCGAAGAACCUUACCUGGUCUUGACAUCCACGGAAGUUUUCAGAGAUGAGAAUGUGCCUUCGGGAACCGUGAGACAGGUGCUGCAUGGCUGUCGUCAGCUCGUGUUGUGAAAUGUUGGGUUAAGUCCCGCAACGAGCGCAACCCUUAUCCUUUGUUGCCAGCGGUCCGGCCGGGAACUCAAAGGAGACUGCCAGUGAUAAACUGGAGGAAGGUGGGGAUGACGUCAAGUCAUCAUGGCCCUUACGACCAGGGCUACACACGUGCUACAAUGGCGCAUACAAAGAGAAGCGACCUCGCGAGAGCAAGCGGACCUCAUAAAGUGCGUCGUAGUCCGGAUUGGAGUCUGCAACUCGACUCCAUGAAGUCGGAAUCGCUAGUAAUCGUGGAUCAGAAUGCCACGGUGAAUACGUUCCCGGGCCUUGUACACACCGCCCGUCACACCAUGGGAGUGGGUUGCAAAAGAAGUAGGUAGCUUAACCUUCGGGAGGGCGCUUACCACUUUGUGAUUCAUGACUGGGGUGAAGUCGUAACAAGGUAACCGUAGGGGAACCUGCGGUUGGAUCACCUCCUUACCUUAAAGAAGC